AGAGUUUGAUCCUGGCUCAGAUUGAACGCUGGCGGCAUGCCUUACACAUGCAAGUCGAACGGUAGCGGGCCUUCGGGUGCCGACGAGUGGCGAACGGGUGAGUAAUGUAUCGGAACGUACCUUUCAGUGGGGGAUAACGUAGCGAAAGUUACGCUAAUACCGCAUAUUCUGUGAGCAGGAAAGCAGGGGAUCUUCGGACCUUGCGCUGAUUGAGCGGCCGAUAUCAGAUUAGCUAGUUGGUGAGGUAAAGGCUCACCAAGGCGACGAUCUGUAGCGGGUCUGAGAGGAUGAUCCGCCACACUGGAACUGAGACACGGUCCAGACUCCUACGGGAGGCAGCAGUGGGGAAUUUUGGACAAUGGGGGCAACCCUGAUCCAGCCAUGCCGCGUGAGUGAAGAAGGCCUUCGGGUUGUAAAGCUCUUUCGGCCGGGAAGAAAUCGCAUGGGUUAAUACCCUGUGCGGAUGACGGUACCGGCAUA
rnacentral:rRNA from 1 species